CCCGCCGCCCGCGCGCAAGGCAGCCUGGGAGCUGUAGUCCGCAGCCUCAGCCCCGCUCGCGGCGCCCCGCGCGGCCGCCCGCCUUCCGAACUACAAGUCCCGGCGUGAGCGGGGCAUGCGUGGCUAGGCGGCUGAGAGAGCUCGGGUCCUCGGGCCCGCCCGUGGCUGUGGGUUUUUAAAUCAAAGGGAGGUGGCAAAUGGAGAACUAUAGAGGCACUCGACAGUUUUCAUAAUUAUAGUAUGAGAACAAGAAAGAAUCCUUGUGACAGCAUUGCCAGUAGGUGUGGACAAAGAUGUCUGUACCAAGAUGAAGGAAAACAAUUCUGCCGUUGUCAUUCCAUAAGGCAAAAUGUCAGCUGGGCGGCUUGGGUGGGCCAUACCCACUGCCAGGGAUGGACCAGAGGGACCUCAGCAAAGGUCCUGCCUUGAAAAUGGAGUCUGGAGGAUGGACAAGGCCGUAAGCAAAGUGGUAAUGUCUGCAGUAGUCUUAAGGCUUUUAGCAAUGGUAAAUCCUUCAGUUUUCUCAAAUGAUAUGCACUUAAUAGCAUUAUAGCCAACUAGCUCAGAUUUGAUAGCUUACAAAGCUAAGAGUUUGUUAACAUUUCAUUUAUAAAGGAUAAGAAGGGAAAUUUUUAUUCCCAAAAAAUAACUAAACUGGAAGUUAGGACCUCAAAGAAAAGUAAACGGGAGAAAAGAAUGAGACAGAGAACUGUGGCCUUCUCUGCAAAGACAUAAGGCUAUUGCUGCUUCUGUACCUGACUCAAAUACCCAAGUCAACCAUUGGCAAAAGAAGUAGAAAGUUUGCCUUCUGCUUCCCCAAGGACUUCAGUGAAUGAGAUUACCUGUGCUGGGAGCCAUACAGAGGCAAGCAAAAGGGAGUGAAUGUUUUAGUGCCCAUGUGUCAAUACUAUUGGUGAAUAUGGAGGCUACAGUCAUUCAAUGUCUCCCAUCUCUGCUGUUGCUGUUUUUUCUCAGCUGGGAAUCAGAUCCUCUGUACUGGAAGACAAAGGGGAAGAUGCCCUGCUUCAAAACUAGACCCUCCUUGCAUAUGUGAAAACACAUAUGCCACACUGGCUGGCUGAUGCUGCAGAGAGAAGAGAAUGAAGAUGGGGAAAAUUAGAGUCCUUUGAGUCUCCUUGUUUCCUUCCAACCCUGAGAGAAUGUGUUUAUUCUGAAUUAUGGAUCACAUUUUUUGUGAACCAUGGAACUCUCGAGUUACACUGUUUGUAGUUCACUACUUGCUUGCUGCAGUGGUUCAUCUCUCAGGAUGGAAAAGGUGAACCAUAAAUUCAGAAAGAAUGUUUUAAUUCUAUUUCUGAUGUGAACUUUGGGCCAAAUUUCAAAUCUAGAGGGAGAGAGGUCAGCUGUGUUUGUAGGUCCAAAGAUUAUAUGCAAGAAAUCAAGCAUUUAGACAAACAACCAAGAGAUUAGGAAUUCAUGGAUUUGUUGCCACACAUUAUUUAUUCAGCUAAGAUUUUCUUGCAUAACUUCAAGUAGUGUUAUGCAUACUGGAAUUUCCUGGCAUGAACCCAGAAGCAAGUAUUAAUGUAUGAUUAAUUCUUAAGUUUAGUAUAGUGAUACCUCUCAAGUAGUUACUUGUUUUUAAAAGAAAAAAAAAAUUACAUUACAUUAACUGGGUAGGAAACUAAAUCUCUCCAUUACCCAGCGGGGGUUCCCCAGCCCUGUGACAAGCUCUCAAGCUCCAAUACAUUUUAGUCAACACAGGCAUAUUUUGUCAAAACUUCUGAAGAAUGCUGACCUAGGACAAGCCAUAGAAGAAAAACUGACAUAAAACGUAGAGCUAAUUGUGCAAUGCUUUAUGUGGAAAAAUGACUUCCUGAUGCCAGUGUUAGUAGGUGGUUUUUUCAAGUGUGGCGUUUAGAGAUCUACAUUUGGUUCUUCCAGAUAUAAAUAUUUUGCAUAUGAAUAUAACUUGUUAUAUCCAUGUAUAUUAACUAUUGUAUUCAAUGCCUCUUCUCUCUUUUUACCUGAUAUUUUUCAACACAGGUGAUCCUCUUAUAUACUUUUAGAUUUCUUAUUGUUUAAAAUGUCAUCCACGAACUCACAGGUAUUUACUCUGUGAACCCCUUGUUCUAGAGAAGCUGAGUAGUGCCCAUGUAGCUGGAAAGUUGCACAAUGAGCUUCUAACACACGGAGCUGAGAGAGCUGACUGAAAUGCAAGCUGUAAACAGACAGAUAUGUAAAAAUAGCUCUAAGUCCAUAAGUUUGGGAACAUUUUUGCAGCUUUAAGAAUCUUUGAUUUGGUAAGCAACAUAAACUAUCUAUUGCGUAUUUGAUUAUUCCUGAAUAGAUAAAGCUAAAAUCAAGUUUACCUCAGAGCGUUCUGUCAUAACUCUAGGGAAAUGGCAUUUGAUACAAACUUGUGUUAAUAAAAACAAACCACAAAAUCCAUUUUCCUAGAGUAGGGUGAAUGACUUCUCUUAUGUCAAAAGUACAUAUAUGUAUUGGAGCCAAACAGGUUUUCCAUGACGGAAACAUGCUGGAGACUUGAAGGCAGGUAGACCCUGCCCUCCUUCUGAAGGAACUCAGAGGAGGUUUGGAAAAGAUCCAAAGGUCUUUAGACACAAACAUCCUUGUGGGUUCAGUCGAUUUUCCAGAGGAGUGAAUUUUGUAACUCCAGAGGCUAGUGGGGGACUUCAGAGGGGUUUUAUUAUGCCCCUGUUUGUAUUCCUAUUUAAGACCACUUAUUAUUUCACUUAGCUUGCAAACUAAUAAUAGGGCUAAGUUAAGCAAGCAUCAAUUUAAUUCCAUUGUCUUUAUAACUUUAUUUCUCUGGAGGCAUGAAAAGAGAUGAAAACAGUGAAUGAAGUGUAAACGAAUGUCCUAUAGAAUGGAUGUGUAUCUGUUACAAGCAUUAACCAUGACGAUCUACAGAUUAUCCAAUUUUUGUUAUUUUAGGUUAACAACAAAAUGUGACUUUGCCAAAUGCAGAUUCAGUUCCCAGGGCGUUCAAUACAGUAGCACGUAUCAUGGCAUUUCAGAGUUUGCUGUGAAAAGAAGCACUGCAAAAAGUUUUUUCACUUAGGUAGAGAAUAUCAGAACAAACCCAAAUGGGAAGUUUUUCUAUACUGUCUUGCAUAACAAGGUCAAGCAGAGAAUCUGUUAAGACAAAAAAACAGUGACAAUUUAGAUAAAUCAGAUGUUUUUGCUGAAGAUUAUGCUGUCAUUUUCUCCAAUUAUUCUUGACAUUUCACCCAAUCGUAUUGUGAUCUGAGUUAAUAAUGGAAGAAAAAAAACAGCUCUUGUUGCCUUGUUUAUGCUUUGUUCUCAAGGAGAUAAGCUGUUUAUAAGGAUAUUUGUUAUUUAAAUCACUUUUACUGAAGUUGUUUGUUUCCUUGUUUG